rnacentral:rRNA from 1 species
AUACGUAGGGGGCGAGCGUUGUCCGGAAUGAUUGGGCGUAAAGGGCGCGUAGGCGGCCCGGUAAGUCUGGAGUGAAAGUCCUGCUUUUAAGGUGGGAAUUGCUUUGGAUACUGUCGGGCUUGAGUGCAGGAGAGGUAAGUGGAAUUCCCAGUGUAGCGGUGAAAUGCGUAGAGAUUGGGAGGAACACCAGUGGCGAAGGCGACUUACUGGACUGUAACUGACGCUGAGGCGCGAAAGUGUGGGGAGCAAACAGGAUUAGAUACCCUGGUAGUCCACACUGUAAACGAUGAAUGCUAGGUGUAGGGGGUAUCGACCCCUUCUGUGCCGCAGUAAACACAAUAAGUUGACCGCCUGGGGAGUACGGCCGCAAGGUUAAAACUCAAAUGAAUUGGCGGGG